GACGAAUGUAACGAUACUCUGGAGGACUACCCAUGCGAUACCAGCAACGGUGUAUGUUCUAGUACCAAUGGUUCUUACGUCUGCUCGUGUACUGAUGGAUAUAUUCUAGGAAUAAAUAACACCUGCAAGGAGCUUUCCCUUCAUUCAAGUGGAAGAGGCGGUUUGAUUGGUGGUCUUGUCUCGUCCGUCGCCGUCAUAUCAAUAAUUGUUGUCAUCGGAUUGCUAUGGAAGUACAGGAAAUUUCCACAAAUACCUCGAAGAAACGAACCCAAGGAAAUCGAUGGUAAAACCUCUGCGCCAAACCCGAACUCUUACGGUGGGAGAACGUACUAUGAACAUGGGAACCUACAUGUAGAUACUGCAUGCAAUGCAGAGCUGAAAGGAAAGGCUUCGUACCACGCUGACAAAUGUUCUGAUAAUGAUGAAAGUGAGGACAUUUACGAAAAUCUAGGUGAUUGAGGUCUUUAACUGCAG